rnacentral:rRNA from 1 species
AGGGUUUGAUUCUGGCUCAGAUUGAACGCUGGCGGCAGGCCUAACACAUGCAAGUCGAGCGGUAGAGAGGUGCUUGCACCUCUUGAGAGCGGCGGACGGGUGAGUAAUGCCUAGGAAUCUGCCUGGUAGUGGGGGAUAACGCUCGGAAACGGACGCUAAUACCGCAUACGUCCUACGGGAGAAAGCAGGGGACCUUCGGGCCUUGCGCUAUCAGAUGAGCCUAGGUCGGAUUAGCUAGUUGGUGAGGUAAUGGCUCACCAAGGCGACGAUCCGUAACUGGUCUGAGAGGAUGAUCAGUCACACUGGAACUGAGACACGGUCCAGACUCCUACGGGAGGCAGCAGUGGGGAAUAUUGGACAAUGGGCGAAAGCCUGAUCCAGCCAUGCCGCGUGUGUGAAGAAGGUCUUCGGAUUGUAAAGCACUUUAAGUUGGGAGGAAGGGCAUUAACCUAAUACGUUAGUGUUUUGACGUUACCGACAGAAUAAGCACCGGCUAACUCUGUGCCAGCAGCCGCGGUAAUACAGAGGGUGCAAGCGUUAAUCGGAAUUACUGGGCGUAAAGCGCGCGUAGGUGGUUUGUUAAGUUGGAUGUGAAAUCCCCGGGCUCAACCUGGGAACUGCAUUCAAAACUGACAAGCUAGAGUAUGGUAGAGGGUGGUGGAAUUUCCUGUGUAGCGGUGAAAUGCGUAGAUAUAGGAAGGAACACCAGUGGCGAAGGCGACCACCUGGACUGAUACUGACACUGAGGUGCGAAAGCGUGGGGAGCAAACAGGAUUAGAUACCCUGGUAGUCCACGCCGUAAACGAUGUCAACUAGCCGUUGGGAGCCUUGAGCUCUUAGUGGCGCAGCUAACGCAUUAAGUUGACCGCCUGGGGAGUACGGCCGCAAGGUUAAAACUCAAAUGAAUUGACGGGGGCCCGCACAAGCGGUGGAGCAUGUGGUUUAAUUC